rnacentral:rRNA from 1 species
GACCCUGGCUCAGGAUGAACGCUAGCUACAGGCUUAACACAUGCAAGUCGAGGGGCAGCGGGGUUGAAGCUUGCUUCAAUUGCCGGCGACCGGCGCACGGGUGAGUAACGCGUAUCCAACCUUCCGUACACUCAGGGAUAGCCUUUCGAAAGAAAGAUUAAUACCUGAUGGUAUGAUGAGAUUGCAUGAUAGCAUCAUUAAAGAUUCAUCGGUGUACGAUGGGGAUGCG